GUUGGGUAGGGGAGCGUUCUGUAAGCCUGCGAAGGUGGCCUGUGAGGGUUGCUGGAGGUAUCAGAAGUGCGAAUGCUGACAUAAGUAACGAUAAAGCGGGUGAAAAGCCCGCUCGCCGGAAGACCAAGGGUUCCUGUCCAACGUUAAUCGGGGCAGGGUGAGUCGACCCCUAAGGCGAGGCCGAAAGGCGUAGUCGAUGGGAAACGGGUUAAUAUUCCCGUACUUGGUGUUACUGCGAAGGGGGGACGGAGAAGGCUAUGUUGGCCGGGCGACGGUUGUCCCGGUUUAAGCGUGUAGGUGUGUGUUCCAGGUAAAUCCGGUUCACUUUAACACUGAGGCGUGACGACGAGGCACUACGGUGCUGAAGCAACAAAUGCCCUGCUUCCAGGAAAAGCCUCUAAGCAUCAGGUAACAUCAAAUCGUACCCCAAACCGACACAGGUGGUCAGGUAGAGAAUACCAAGGCGCUUGAGAGAACUCGGGUGAAGGAACUAGGCAAAAUGGUGCCGUAACUUCGGGAGAAGGCACGCUGACACGUAGGUGAAGUGAUUUACUCAUGGAGCUGAAGUCAGUCGAAGAUACCAGCUGGCUGCAACUGUUUAUUAAAAACACAGCACUGUGCAAACACGAAAGUGGACGUAUACGGUGUGACGCCUGCCCGGUGCCGGAAGGUUAAUUGAUGGGGUCAGCGCAAGCGAAGCUCCUGAUCGAAGCCCCGGUAAACGGCGGCCGUAACUAUAACGGUCCUAAGGUAGCGAAAUUCCUUGUCGGGUAAGUUCCGACCUGCACGAAUGGCGUAAUGAUGGCCAGGCUGUCUCCACCCGAGACUCAGUGAAAUUGAACUCGCUGUGAAGAUGCAGUGUACCCGCGGCAAGACGGAAAGACCCCGUGAACCUUUACUAUAGCUUGACACUGAACAUUGAGCCUUGAUGUGUAGGAUAGGUGGGAGGCUUUGAAGUGUGGACGCCAGUCUGCAUGGAGCCGGCCUUGAAAUACCACCCUUUAAUGUUUGAUGUUCUAACGUGGACCCGUAAUCCGGGUUGCGGACAGUGUCUGGUGGGUAGUUUGACUGGGGCGGUCUCCUCCUAAAGAGUAACGGAGGAGCACGAAGGUUGGCUAAUCCUGGUCGGACAUCAGGAGGUUAGUGCAAUGGCAUAAGCCAGCUUGACUGCGAGCGUGACGGCGCGAGCAGGUGCGAAAGCAGGUCAUAGUGAUCCGGUGGUUCUGAAUGGAAGGGCCAUCGCUCAACGGAUAAAAGGUACUCCGGGGAUAACAGGCUGAUACCGCCCAAGAGUUCAUAUCGACGGCGGUGUUUGGCACCUCGAUGUCGGCUCAUCACAUCCUGGGGCUGAAGUAGGUCCCAAGGGUAUGGCUGUUCGCCAUUUAAAGUGGUACGCGAGCUGGGUUUAGAACGUCGUGAGACAGUUCGGUCCCUAUCUGCCGUGGGCGCUGGAGAACUGAGGGGGGCUGCUCCUAGUACGAGAGGACCGGAGUGGACGCAUCACUGGUGUUCGGGUUGUCAUGCCAAUGGCACUGCCCGGUAGCUAAAUGCGGAAGAGAUAAGUGCUGAAAGCAUCUAAGCACGAAACUUGCCCCGAGAUGAGUUCU
rnacentral:rRNA from 1 species